CCUCAGGCACUAAACAGACUGCCCUUUAAGGCAGAACCUCAUCCAGCUUAAUCGAUAUCACGUCCAAUUUAAUACUCCUCCUCUCCCCCCACAGGCUGUCUUCUGGCUGGAGACCCUACAGGAGAGAGUGAGGGAGCGUUCCAGUCCACGCCAGGCAAAGCAAGGAAGAGCGGGCUGCUCCUCGGACGGCCAGCAGCCCACGCCAGCCGGUUCCACAGUCGCGGUUCUCCAGACAGAAAGUGCGUGUAAGUCUUCCUUUGUGCACAGACUAAGUUCCUGAAGACGUAUGUUUGGUUCAUCCAAGAACUUUCUCGCUGUGCUUUUUAUGUGGAGGACCUGCGACCACGGGCAACUCGCCUAGCAUCUGCAGAGGGACUGCUGGAGCGAGUUAUGUCAGUCAGCUUCCACCACUGUGACAAAAUACUUGAGCCACCAAGGAGGAAGGAGGAAGCCGGAUUCCCCUGCAUCAGAUGGCUCCCUGUUGCCGAAGGAAAAGCAUCUUGACCUCAGCUUCUCUCUUUGGGGCUGAGAAGGGGCUCGAGUGAAUGCCCGUGUGGCAGGCGUGGCACUUCGCAUUCCACAAACCCAGAGGAGCACAGAGAAAGCAGAUGGGCAGCCCUCUCACUGGCCGGUGACGUGAGACUCCUGCGGUCUGACUCACACACAGACAUCGCUGCUUGCUGGAUGAUUCAGAUCCUCUCUGAAAAUUGAGCUACGAAACACAACUGGAAUUAAAACGGAACAGCAAGAUUUAACUGGAGGAGCACAUCGACAAGGGGUGGCUGUGGAGACUGAGGCCAAGAGAUGCCUGUCCGAGGUCACGUGACCCGCUAUUGGCAGCAGCAGGCCCCUGAAGCAGGGUCUCCUGGCUCCCAGGCCCUUCAGCCCUGUCGACUCCUGCAGGAAGCUGGGAGCUGUUCAGCUGUCCGGGCCGGAGAAGACAGGAGCGCUGUGCCCAUCUCCGGUGGGAGGUGUUUUGUCUCUGCAAUGAGGACCGUAACCAAGACACUGGUCUUGCCUUCCACUUGCCCCCAAACUGAAGGAAGCCUAGGGUCCCUGUGUCCACACCACAUGGCACCAGCGCCUGUACCAGCUGGGAGCCAUGUUUUCAAACUUCUGAUCCGCAACUCACGGGAAGGUCCUGAAGUCCUCAUCCUGGAGGAAAAGGAGACAGAGGUUCACUUCCACCAGUCCUCCGUGUCCACCAAGGUGUCCUCCUGGUCUCUGUCUCUCCAGGGCAGAAGGUGGUGAGUGUACUCUUCCUGCUUGCUGAGGAUGCUGUGAAGUGGAGGCAAAUAAAGCUGCAGCGGAGAUUUCAGCUCAGCGCAGGCUUGGCAGGGAGUGUGCUGGGAGCAAGGGCAGCAGGAAAGUUUGCGCAUACAGAACAGCAUUUAAGGGCCAGGGGGAUAGCUCAGCCGCACAGCGCCUGCCUGGCAAGCUCGAGGUCCUGAGUUCGAUUCCCAGUACCCUCCCCUCAAAAAAGAUACAAAAAAGCAUUUAAACAGGCUCCUGUGACAUUUCCUCUUGUUAGAGGUAAAGGGAAAACAGCUAUCGUUUAAAAACUGGUUAAAUUCUCAUCAGCUUAGGGUGCUUUUAAUGUUUUCCCAGAAGGCUAGGCGGUUGAGGAGGCCCCGUGUAGCCCUAGGCGUUCAUGACCGCUUCAGUUCCCCACACAGUCUGCCUGGCUCCGUGGGGCUGAGAAGGUUUGACGAGACGCGAAGGCCGCCCCGCACAGGCGGCACAGGCGUUCGCUGCGUGCCCAGUGUCCUAGGCUGGCGGGAAGCACAGGGCCAGGCGGCAGGGAGGGGCUGCCAGAGCAAAGCUGAGGGCUCAGUGUCGGGCGGAGUCGGCAGGGUUGGCCCCUGUCGUACCUGCGCUAAUGAGCUGGAAGCGGAUGGAAACGGCCCAGCGUGUGAAGGCAGCAAAGGAAAGGUCCGCCCCGUGCCAGCUGGACAGGAGAGAGCCGAGCGGGGUGGGAGAGGGGGUCUGUCCCCUCCCCACACCCUGCGUUCUCAAGCUGGAGGCUGGAACUCCAGGGGGACUGGGCAGUGAGGAACAACCAGAUGAGGCUGAAAUAGAUGCCCCCGGGGGAGGGGAUUAGAAAGACGCCAAGGGAUGUGGCACAGGAGGAGAAAGUGUCCAGGGGCUGCAGCAGCACCGUGCCAGCCUCGGGUGGGAAGAGGCCCCAGGGGGCUGUCGGCUGCAGCCACAGGCCGCGGAGAGAGAAGCUGAGCAGAGGCGAAGGCUGCGCUUAAUAAGGGCCGGCAGAAGAAUGAGCCCUUCCAGAGCCGCCAGGGCGGCAGAAACGGCCACAAGUGCUUGCAGACUGUAAACACGGAGAGGGACAGGGCUUGUCUGGGGUACAAGGGUCUGGCCAGGCCGAGGAGAGCAGGGCCAGGGGCGGAAAGGAGACUUGAGCUUGGCAGCUUCUGCAGGGACUGUCGUGAGACCCCGGGGAAAGGCACACCGGAAGCCCUACACACAAGUGAGAAAACCUCGCAGGCCCGGGGGCGGACCCCAGCUCAGCCGGAGCUCUGGGGCUGUGUCCGUGGGCAGGGACAGGUCGCCCAAGAGUUGUUUCCUCUUCCUGCGCGGGGUCCAGGGCCUUGAGUGUGGCAUUUCUUCUUGGCCCUUUAUGCUUGGUGCUGCAAUUGUAGGGCAACCAAGACUGUGCCUCCCAGCAACAGGGUGGGGUCAGCUGGAUAAAUAUUUACGGAGCACCCCCAUUAACCUUUCGCAUGAGGGGUGACCCCUCCCAAUGGCUUCCGUAUGGACCUUCGCCCCACCCCAUUCUUGCAUGGAAAUUCCUACCCGAAGCAGAGCCUGCAGAUCCAACCUGACCUUCUGUCCAGCGCUGCCUAGGAAGCCUCUGGGCUGGUUAGACCCAGGCUGGGACCAGGGACAGAAGCUAGGCCAGCACUGCCUCCCUCCUUGGGACCUCCGCUCAUCGCCCGGGACUAAUGGGGACUGAGCCCAGUCUGCACUUGGUGGUUUUCACUGCGUGCAGCUCUUGAUCAGGGAUUGCCCAAGGCCGCGGUGUUCUCAGCAGGCAGGCUUGUCACCCCCAAGCUGGUGACUACGAGUGGACUCUUUCUGUCUGCUCAGCAUCCCUCCCCUCUUACUCCUGAAGCAGCAUCCUUUUCCUUUAGGGCACUGUCCUUCCAUUUUCUAGAUUAUUUGACAGAUGACCAACUAUAAAACUUACCAGAAAGCACAUGACCCGUGCCGUACCAAUCAGAGUCUCCCCCGUGAUUUGUCCCGGAUGCAGAUACACAGUUGUAACUGAACCAUCCAACUGCAGCUCCCAAAAGAGACGCGGUCCAAGGAGUGCCUGGGGCUGGUCCAAGGAUGCCUUGGGCUGGGCCCAGGAGUUCCCGGGGUUGCUUCCCAGAGUCCUGACCUUCUUGAUACUUACGCGUUCUGUUCCUAUUUCUAUUCUGCUUAUUCCUAAAAUAUUUCCAGUAGCUCUACUUUUUUUAAUGUACAGAAUAGCUACUCCUUAUUACAUGCAAUCAAAGGAUGCUAAUUUAAAUAAAAACCAAGAGGGACAGGUUGGCUGUGGCUCGUAGCUCCCCCUUCUCUGCAGCCCGACGGCGACUGCCUCAGCUCCCUUACAACACUCGGCUCUCGCAGGACAGCAUCUGUCUGCUCAACAAGACUGUGAGCAAACGCUAGGGUGUACCCUGGUGGAACAGCACGUGCUUAAAAAUUUGGUGCCCAGCACAAAAGAAAGGCAGGAAGACUGUGAACAUCGACCACUAAGCAGACUUGUGUCUCAGAACCUGGCAAAGGCAGUGUGGAAACCAUGCCGAAGACCCUUCCUAAGAGCAAGAUCUUGACAGGAGAAGAGGAGAAAGCACACAGGUUUUCAAGAUGUGGAAAGCGCAAAUGGAUUUGCAGCUUCCAGUCAGCUCGGCUCCUGCUAGAAUAAUUAGCGCCCACCUGCUCUCCGUGCAAGAAUUUACAGCCAGUGGAUACACAUCUGGCCUGUAAAAGACACGCUUGGACGUCUUCCAGGCUGCUUGGAACAGGCUGGGGACAACACAGGGUCAGCCACCGGUCUGAAAGCAAGGAAACAGCUGGCCAGAAAGCUGCGGUCACUGAGGCCUGAGCAACUGCCCACCCCUCCUUUGCCGGGCAGCUCGAUGGACACAAGACAGGAGGCUGGAAUCGUCCUUCAGCAGCCCAGCUGGUCCUUGUCUCACUAACCCCCGGGCUCUGGCCUCCCCGGAGAGCCCGCGCUGGCUCAUCCGCAGCUUCUGGGGCAGAAGCCAAAGG